UCUAAGUUUGAUGGCGACCGGCGCACGGGUGAGUAACACGUAUCCAACCUGCCGAUAACUCGGGGAUAGCCUUUCGAAAGAAAGAUUAAUACCCGAUGGCAUAAUAGAACCGCAUGGUUUGAUUAUUAAAGAAUUUCGGUUAUCGAUGGGGAUGCGUUCCAUUAGGCAGUUGGUGGGGUAACGGCCCACCAAACCUUCGAUGGAUAGGGGUUCUGAGAGGAAGGUCCCCCACAUUGGAACUGAGACACGGUCCAAACUCCUACGGGAGGCAGCAUG
rnacentral:rRNA from 1 species